rnacentral:rRNA from 1 species
AUUGAACGCUGGCGGCAGGCUUAACACAUGCAAGUCGAGCGGAUGAAAGUAGCUUGCUACCGGAUUCAGCGGCGGACGGGUGAGUAAUGCUUAGGAAUCUGCCUAUUAGUGGGGGACAACGUUCCGAAAGGAGCGCUAAUACCGCAUACGUCCUACGGGAGAAAGCAGGGGACCUUCGGGCCUUGCGCUAAUAGAUGAGCCUAAGUCGGAUUAGCUAGUUGGUAGGGUAAAGGCCUACCAAGGCGACGAUCUGUAGCGGGUCUGAGAGGAUGAUCCGCCACACUGGGACUGAGACACGGCCCAGACUCCUACGGGAGGCAGCAGUGGGGAAUAUUGGACAAUGGGGGGAACCCUGAUCCAGCCAUGCCGCGUGUGUGAAGAAGGCCUUUUGGUUGUAAAGCACUUUAAGCGAGGAGGAGGCUACCUAGAUUAAUACUUUAGGAUAGUGGACGUUACUCGCAGAAUAAGCACCGGCUAACUCUGUGCCAGCAGCCGCGGUAAUACAGAGGGUGCGAGCGUUAAUCGGAUUUACUGGGCGUAAAGCGUGCGUAGGCGGCCAAUUAAGUCAAAUGUGAAAUCCCCGAGCUUAACUUGGGAAUUGCAUUCGAUACUGGUUGGCUAGAGUAUGGGAGAGGAUGGUAGAAUUCCAGGUGUAGCGGUGAAAUGCGUAGAGAUCUGGAGGAAUACCGAUGGC